rnacentral:lncRNA from 10 species
CGCUUGCGGAUGGGCCGAGAUGGUGCCCCUGCCGAGGGGGCUGGCUGGGUGCCCCACUCCCCCAGCAUGAGGUUCUGUUGGGGGCUGGGCCCGACUUGGACAUGGCCUCCAGGCCCCCAGCCCUGUGGGAGCAGGGGUGUGGCCAGCUCAGCAGAGGCGGCCCAGAGAGAUCGUGAGUCCACUGGGGGCAGCGCCCCUCCUGCCCAGCGCUACCUUGGUGGAGAGUGAUGGGGUCUGACCACUUGGUCUCAGCCCUGGGUGAGCCCCUGGUGUCCAUCAGGAGGAACUUCACCCUGGGGAUGGGAGGUGGUGGGGGAGGAGGGGAGAGCUUCAGAGGCUGGGACCACCCUGGGCAGGGCCAAGCCCCAGGCAGCUCCUCUGGGGCCCUCCCAUGGAUGUGGAGUGGGGGUGCCCGUCAAGAGCAGCAGCCCAUGGCCUGGCCCUGCUCUGAGAAUCCCCUGAGAUGUCUCCAGCCACUUGGCCUGUGCCACCACCCCUCAUCCCCCCGAGCAAUUGCUCUCCAGACACCAGACCUGGGCCGGGGAUGCUGGUUUAGGGGCCCUGGUUCCUAAAUGUCACAAGCCAAAAGAGCAGGUGAAGGUGGCUUAGCAGGGCACAUGGGGCAGGGGUCACAGGCCUCCCAGAGGGGCAGCAGUAGCCGGGGGCAGGGGGCUCAAUCACCAGCAGCCUGAGGACCCAGGGCACCAGGAGCCCCGCAGAGGGCCUCGGUUUGUCUCUUUGCAGGGCUGGGAGCUCUGCAAGGCCUGGGAAGCGGGGAAGGACCUGGCAGGUUGGCAUUGAAAAGAGUGGCUGCGGGGGAUGGGGCGGGGCAUGGAGCUGGAAGGCUGAGCCAGGGUGAGGCAGCGGGGAGGGCAGAGGGUGGACCUGGAGAGUGGGUGAGAGGGCAGAAGGGGGCUGGGCGGAGCGGGGUGCUGUUCCAGCCUCACCACGCCCUGCCUUCCCGGCUUCCCCUGGGCCUGGUCUUCCUGAGGUCACCCCGCCUCCUCCUGUGUCCGGACAGUCCUGACCUGGACACACUGCCUGCUUCCCCAUCCCGGCUCCACCCCGAUGUUGGCAGGCCACUUGACCUCCUGUGCCUCAGUUUCCUCAUCUGUAAGAGCGGGCCCCACAGCAGUCCCCGUACCAUUGCUGAAGGCCACCACGAGCCAGACGGUAUCGCUGGCGCUGGCAAGCCCAUCGAAGACACAGCGCGGCUGCUCCAGGGAGAAGGUGGUGGCUGUGACCUUCCCUUCCAGGUCCCAAGCUGUUAUCUGUGGUGUGUAGGGCACCAGCUCUGUGGCCACGGGGGACAAAAGGCUCAGGCUGGGCCGGAGACAGUUCAACGCCAGGAGGAGCAUCUGCAGCCCUAGGUGAGGCUGCCCCCAGGGUAGCCCCAUGACAGCUGCCAGCACCCGGGAGGCUCAGGGGCUGGUCUGGCUGCUUCGGGCUGCACCUCACCCCCAACAGCUUGGCCCUGGAGAAGCUGGUUAAUCAGGCUGCCCCAGGGGCUGGAAAGACCUGCAAAUGAAGAAGAACUUGGAUUCAGAGAAAGGGCUGCAGAGCCCUUGACAGCUGACAAGCCCGCCACUUAAACACUACUCCCGGGAUUUGGCGCUCACUAUGUGUGUAUUUUUCAAGACAUAACUCACAUACCUUCACAACCUUCACAGCUCAGUGGCUUAAAUAUAUAUAUGUCACCCAGGGAGGUCAGUUCACAGCUAACUGGAGCCUCAAACUCCCAGGUUCAGUUAAUCCUCCCACCUCAGCCUUCCCAGUAGCUGGAACCACAGGCACACAACACCAUGCUCCGGCUAAUUUUUAAAAUUUAUUUAAUUAAUUUUUUUUUAAGAUGGAGUCUCCUUUGUUGUCCAGGCUGGAGUGCAGUGGCGUGAUCUGGGCUCACUGCAACCUCCGCCUCCUGGGUUCAAGCGAUUCUCCUGCCUCAGCCUCCCAAGUAGCUGGGAUUACAGGCAUGUGCCCCACGGCCAGCUAAUUUUUGUAUUUUUAGUAGGGACGGGGUUUCACCAUGUUGGCUUGGCUGGUCUCAAAUUCCUGAUCUCAAGUGAUCCACCCGCCUUGGCCUCCCAAAGUGCUGGGAUUACAGGCAUGUGCCACCGUGCCUGGCACCCCCGCCAAUUUUUUUUUUGUUUUUUUUGAAACGGAGUUUUCACUCUUGUUGCCCAGGCUGGAGUACAAUGGCUCGAUCUUGGCUCACCGCAACCUCCACCUCCUGGGUUCAAGUGAUUCUCCUGCCUCAGCCUCCUGAGUAGCUGGGAUUACAGGCAUGUGCCACCACACCUGUCUAAUUUUGUAUUUUUAGUAGAGAUAGGGUUUCUCCACGUUGGUGAGGCUGGUCUCGAACUCCUGACCUCAGGUGAUCCACCCACCUCAGCCUCCCAAAGCGCUGGGAUUGCAGGUGUGAGCCACUGCGCCCGGCUGGCCAAUUUUUAAAAAUGUAUUUUUUAUAGAAACAGGAUCUUGCUAUGUUGCCCAGGCUGAUCUCUAACUCCUGGGAGGAUCAAGCAAAUCUCCUGCCUUGGCCUCCUAAAGUAUUGGGAUUACAGGCGUGAGCCACCGUGCCUGGCUAUUUUUUUUUUUUUUUGAGACAUGGAGUCUCACCCUGUCGCCCAGGCGGAGGUUGCAGUGAGCUGAGAUCGCACCACCGCACUACAGCGUGGAUGACAGAGUGAGACUCUGUCUCAAAAAAAAUAUAAUAAAAAUAUAUUUCUUGUAGAGACAGGGUCUCACUGUGUUGCCCAGCCUGGUCUUGAACUCCUGGCUCAAGGGAUCCUCCUGCCUCAGCCUCCCAAAGUGCCCAGAUUACAGGCAUGAGCCACAGCGCCCAACAGCUUUUAGUAUAUCAACAAGGUUGUGCAACCAUCACCAAUUCCAGAACCUUCUUACUUCCCCAAAACGAAACACUACACCCAUUAAACGGUAACUCUCCAUUCUCCCGUCCCCAGUGACGACUAAGCUACUUCUUGUUUCCAUGGUUUUGCCCGUAAUGGACAUUUCAUAGGAUGCAGUCACACAACAUGUGACCUUUUGUGUCUGGCUUUUGUUACUUUUUCAAGGUUCCUCCUCGACUGUGAUUGCUUCAUUCCUUUUCACAGUUGAGUAA